UCGGUUCCGGUUCACGCCGCAGCAUCCCGACUUGGGUUGGCGACCCGGGGCC
rfam:Mycobacterium chubuense strain DSM 44219 MCHTDSM44219_contig000034, whole genome shotgun sequence.